UACGUAGGGUGCAAGCGUUGUCCGGAAUUAUUGGGCGUAAAGAGCUCGUAGGCGGUUUGUCGCGUCUGCUGUGAAAACUCGGGGCUUAACCCCGGGCCUGCAGUAGGUACGGGCAGACUAGAGUGCGGUAGGGGAGACUGGAAUUCCUGGUGUAGCGGUGAAAUGCGCAGAUAUCAGGAGGAACACCGGUGGCGAAGGCGGGUCUCUGGGCCGAUACUGACGCUGAGGAGCGAAAGCGUGGGGAGCGAACAGG
rnacentral:rRNA from 1 species